rnacentral:tRNA from 1 species
GAGGGUAUAGCUCAGCGGUAGAGUGCAUGCUUAGCAUGCAUGAGGUCCUAGGUUCAAUCCCCAGUCCCUCCA